rnacentral:rRNA from 1 species
ACGGAAGGCAGCAGUGGGGGAUAUUGCACAAUGGGCGCAAGCCUGAUGCAGCGACGCCGCGUGUGGGAAGACGGUCUUCGGAUUGUAAACCACUGUCUUUGGGGACGAUAAUGACGGUACCCAAGGAGGAAGCUCCGGCUAACUACGUGCCAGCAGCCGCGGUAAUACGUAGGGAGCAAGCGUUGUCCGGAAUUACUGGGUGUAAAGGGAGCGCAGGCGGGAAGACAAGUUGGAUGUCAAAUCUAUCGGCUUAACCGAUAUACGCAUUCAAAACUGUUUUUCUUGAGUGAAGUAGAGGUUGGCGGAAUUCCUAGUGUAGCGGUGAAAUGCGUAGAUAUUAGGAGGAACACCAGUGGCGAAGGCGGCCAACUGGGCUUUUACUGACGCUGAGGCUCGAAAGCGUGGGGAGCAAACAGGAUUAGAUACCCUGGUA